AUUGAACGCUGGCGGCAGGCCUAACACAUGCAAGUCGAACGAGUGGCGGACGGGUGAGUAAUGUCUGGGCAACUGCCUGAUGGAGGGGGAUAAGUACUGGAAACGGUAGCUAAUACCGCAUACCAGCAGAUGUGCCCAGAUGGGAUUAGCUUGUUGGUGGGGUAUCGGCGCACCAAGGCGAAGAUCCCUAGCUGGUCUCAGAGGAUGACCAGCCACACUGGAAGUGAGACACGGUCCAGACUCCAACGGGAGGGAGCAGUGGGGAAUAGUGCAGAAUGGGCGCAAGCCUAAUGCAGCCAUGCCGCGUGUAUGAAGAAGGCCUGCGGGUUGUAAAGUACUUUCAGCGGGGAGGCGGUACCCGCAGAAGAAGCACCGGCUAACUCCGUGCCAGCAGCCGCGGUAAUUC
rnacentral:rRNA from 1 species